AACCACCGUAAUUGUAACUGAGG
rnacentral:piRNA from 1 species